rnacentral:lncRNA from 1 species
AUGUUGCCGAAGGGUAACAUGGCGCCAUCCGGGGACAGUGGUUCUGACGUAGCACACUCUGCAGCUAGAUGGGGCGACAACAGCUUGCGACCAUUUUCCGCGACAAGUAGAGAAAAGGCUGGGGAGGCGCCUCAGGCGGCAGGAGACGAGCGGGCUCGCGGACUGUAGAAGAGACACGGGCCCGCCGCCUCCGAAGCCAGCUUCCCAAAUUCAUUCUCCUGCGCGGCUGGACUCCUUAUCGCUGCGUUCCCUGGGGCCAGGUUCUUCCUCCGUCCCCCAAGUCUUUCUUUAGAUACUCAGAAAACCGGCAGUAGCAGCUGCGGCGGUCCACAGCGGCAUAUGGGCGCAGCCAUCUUGGGGGCGGGGAUGGGCAGUCAGAGCCGACUCUGGUCUCAGGGCAGGGGUCAGAGGGCAGGGGUCAGGCUCAGUCGGCAGCCUUCAAGAGGAGGGGCUAUGAGCUGGGUUGGGCGGCUGACGUCAUUACGAAACCGGAAGAACCCUUAUGAUUGAUUCUCCUGAGAUACAAUGAGGAACUCAUUUCUGGGACCAUGGGGUGCCUUUGGAGAACCUGGCUUUUACCUUUUUUUAAAAAAAAAUUGAGUUUUUAUAAUAAUUAAUAGUUAAUUACCUGCAAUUUUUGUUUUAUGAAAAUUUUAUCGAGGUAUAAUUGAUUUGGCUUUUGCCUUUUUGAAAACAGCCUAAAAUGGGGGAGAGCUCUUGCUCUGAUGAUGCCAGCCAGUGGCAACACAGCCUGCUAAAAAGGCCUGCAGUGCCCUUGAGGAACGUUUUCUGUCUCCUGUCAGGGUCUGGGGGAGAGAGGUCAAGUGUGUGCUCUGUGUGCGUUAUACCUGCCUGGUCACCAAGCAGGUCUCCUCGGCUGGACAUGGCAGGCUCUGGGCUCCCUGCACCCAGUUCGUUCUGAGCUACAGCCAACACGUGCCAAGCGCUGUUGAGAGAGGCGGGGGAUCCAGCAUAGAGUUAUUAAUCUUCCAUUGGAACAUACUGCUCGCUCCCUUUCUCCCCCUCUCCCCCCAUGAGUUCAGCUGAUGUUCCUCAGGUUGGUUGGGUGCGUCACAGCCCAAAUGGAAAACCCGGAGGUCUCCUGGGAAGCGAUUCUAUCCCAGGCUUGUGUGGAAGUCCCCGGAGAAGAGUCUGUUUUCUGUCAGCCACGUGAGUGGGGCCUUGUCCCUCCUCCAACUCCUGGUGACGUCUCUGUACCAUUGUAAGGGAUGGCCAGGUUUAGAGCCCCUCACCGAUUUCUUUCCAGAGGAGAGGCCGCCUGAGAACCUUUUCUGACCCCACUGUCAUGAGACAGGAGAAGGUUACUAGAGUUAGUAUAGAGUUAGUGUCCCGAGGACAGGAGUCUUUCUGCCCUAGCUGCAGAAAGACUGGUCUCUGGCCCUGAUCAGACUCUCCCCGUGUCCUGAUUCUGCAGGAACGAGCGCUUGCCCAGAAAGAAGGCUGGCCGAGGCAGGCGGUGGUUGCUCGUGCAGCGCCCACGUUUUGUAGUGUGACUGGGGCAUCCAGGAACCACACAACCCGCAGAGGGGUUCUUCCAGCCCGUGCCCUGCCCGGGUGUUGGGAUCUCCAGCCCACAGAAGAGAAGCUGGGCUCCACUCCUUCCUGGCUCUUUGGGCCUCAGUCCCUCUUCCAGGGUCAUAACUGAGGACCACGUGCCCAGACGGCCAUGGUGUUUGCCCCAGGGAACAGUUCUAGGGCUCCAAGCCCAGGACUUGGCCCACAGCAGGCACCUGGGAAGGGGUGGCCAUUUCUGCUGUCCUCUUCCCCGUGGGGGGGAACCAGUGCUGCUCCUUCCUGCCCUGUGGGCUUCCCCUUUGCCACCCUUGCCCAGGAUCCCCACUCCUAUCCAAGUGAAAACAUUUUGGAAAAGGCCAUUAGGCCUCUGAUUCCGGCAACAAGCUUUGGAAAGGGUAACCCCAGCAGGCCCCAGUGACUCAAGCCCUUCCUUCCUUUGCCAAGAAAAGCCUGUCUCAGAAGGACCGGUCCUGUCCAGCUCCUGGGAGACCACCGCUGAGGCCCUGGCAUUUUCUGCCUGCUAGAAUAAUUCCGGAUCCCAGGCGUCGCUGUUCCAUGUGUCCAGGUAGUUCAUGCUGGCAGUGUGACUUAGGGUGUGCAUUUUUUGGUGUGUCUGAGGCCCCAGGCCCCCCUGUACUAGUUUGAUACCCGGAGGCUGUAGACGGACGGGUGGCUAAAGUGGUCCCAUGGAAGCUGCGUGCCUUCGAGUCCAGUCCCCAGGGAACUCUCUGGACCCCCAGGCAUGUGAGCUUCUCCGGCCAGCAGCACUUCGUGGGUGUUGCCCCACAUCGUUUCUGGGAGACUUGGGCAUCGUCUGAGUGUGCUGGGAGGGGAGAACGGGGGUCUUAGCGGAUUCCCCUGCACUUCGCCCAGGUGCCUGUCCCCUCUGCUGAAUCUGCUCUCACGGUCAAAAGUCACAGUCCCCGAGGGACUCGCAGGACUCUGAGAAGGACCAACCACGGGUUUGAGUCCUGAGUCCUUCUAGGGGAUCAUCAAGCCUGGGGGUGAUCUUGGGGGCCCUCGAGGCACCGUGGCUACAGAUUCUCAGAUGGCUGCCCGGUCUAGAGUCUGUUUCAGCCGUCCCAGGGGGUGGGCCUUGAGAACCCAGGGUGACUGUCCCCAGCGGGCACUUUGUUGGUGGUGGCGGGGAGGUCCCAGACCUGAGGAGCAGCCCGCGGGGGGCCCCGCUGUGCUUUCCCACUCUGAGGAGCAGGGGUCCUGAGCCCUCGCUCCGGGCAGCAGCCCAGCCAGCUCGCCUUCCUGCUGUGCUGCAGGGUUCUGCUGAGGGUCCCUGCCUCUUGCUGGAAGUCUCGCCUGCAGUGACGGUGGGGACGGGUCCAACAAGCAGUGCCUGGAUGACAUUGUGCUCUGAAGGGCGUGAGUUCCUGUGGGAAAGGGAAGGCCAGUCGCAAGUGUUCGCCUCCUGCUCUGCUCUCUGCUGCUGCCCCUGCCAAUGGAUUUCCCGCAGGCAGGAGAGAGACAGCGAGUGGAGCCGGAAGAGACCAUGUGGGCGUCUACGGCAGGGAACUGGUGCAUGGCUCCCCGAGAGUGGCAUGAAGCCAAUCCCAUGGCUGGCUGGUGGCCCAGAGGUUAGAGCUUCCGUCUUGGGAUGGAUGACACUGGCCAUUAGCCGAGAAGUCUGUUCACUCUGAUAAACCCCGAAGGAGGAGGACUUUCGCUGACUGAAGCUGAUGCUACCUUCAAGGUCUCUUGCUGUUCUCACAAGCUGCUGUAAGGAGCCAGUGUAUAAUAACA